GCAAUCGACUUUGAAACCAUUUGUGGAUUUAACGAGUCCAAACUUUAUUAGCUCAGCUGAUGGGGAGCAGAGCAGAAGCACCAAGAGGGCAAACCAGCACAUCCACAUCCUCCAGCUGCCGCUUUCCACUGGGAAGUCCCUUGUGUCACUGAUCAGACAUUGCACGGCUGGGGGAGAGAGGGCAGAGCUGCCCCAGAGGCUCCAGAGCCCGGGGAGCCAAGUGGGAGAUGCUGGACUGCUGUGUGUCGGGAGGCUGCUGGGAGGAAGAUGAGCUGAUCUCCUGGAGCAUCCAGGGCCAUUUUCCCCCUCCCUGCACCGCACAAUCCCUCCCGCGGAAAUGGGACACGAGCACCGAGAAGCGUCAACACCAGACUUUCGGAGAUGGAGAGGCUCCUGCUCCCAUCGGUGCCGUUUGAGGAUGCCGGCAGCGUUAACCCUUUGGUUCCCGCAGCCCCGAGCUGCUGCUGGAGCGGUUUUUACACACCCGAGAUGCCCGAGCUGCCUCCUCCAACCCGGCUCUGCAGCCGACCUGGCACUUCCCAGAUGGAGGGAUCCAUUUCCCCUUCCAGCUACCCUCAGCAUUUCCAUAAUGAGAUGAGUUUUGUUGUGACCACAACCAGUGUCAGAGGGAAUAAAAGAAAAAGUGAUCCAGA